GCAGAGAGUAGUUUACAUCACAAAAAAAUCUUAACUGUAAUUUUGUUUUAAUUUGUCACAUGUCCAGAAGACCAGUUUGUGUAUAUCAAACAGACAGUUUUGUCAAAAAAUUAAAAUUUCCAGUACUAUCCUGUAAAUAUCCGGAAAAGUUUACCGGAUGGUGCCGGAUGUCUAUAUUUUGCGGGUUAUUACAACAAUCAUACACAGAUUUUCUGGGGGUGUAGGGGGUGCCCCAGAACAUUUUCCCACCUUACCUAAAGAAAUUUGCACAUACCCCUGAAAUUAAUGUUCCGCGUGUUAUGCGCCCUCUGGCUGACCUGCCCCUGAAUUUUGGCACCCCUCCAGAGCAAAAUCUGAAAUCUGUCUAUGACAACAAUAUGUAAAGUGAUGAAGUACUGUAAAAUUCUAAUCUGGGACACUUUGCCACUUCAUUGGUCAAUGCUAAAAUAUUUUGCUUAAUUGCUUUAGAAUAAGUUUAAGAAUUGCUUCAAUGCUUAUGGUAAUGUGGCUGAAUCACAGAUUGUGAGAAGCUCUAUUGGGAAAAAG